rnacentral:tRNA from 77 species
GGGUUUGUAGCUCAGCUGGUUAGAGCACACGCCUGAUAAGCGUGAGGUCGGAAGUUCAAGUCUUCUCAAACCCACCA